GAGAAGUUAGCAGAAUCCAAAGAGGAAUUGAAGAGAAUUUUUAAAGGCAGAAAAUACAGGCUGAGAAUCUAGCUCCCUGUGGAAAUUGUGAAUGAUGAGCCUUGAGACUGCCUUCUUGUCUCUCUGUGCUGAGAACCUCAACAACUGCAUCAAAGAGGUUCUCUAGGCACAUCUGCUGCCAUGAGAUGCCUCAGCCAAGGACUGUGAGCCAAGAUAUGAGGGAAAUAGUUUAACCAGAUGUGUGCCCAUGUCUGCAACACAGAAUUUUAAGAUGCUGAAAUUUAAAAGCUUGCCAUCAUCUCCCCUGCCUCCCCAGCAGUAAGGGAAGAUUGAAAUCACUGAGAAUGGAAUCCAGGACAUUUUCUAGCUCUCCAAAUGCAGCGAGAACAUUUAUGGACUGACCUUCCACAGCUUCCUUCAAGCACUGGAAUUUCCAGGUGCAUGUUUUCAGAGCACAAGCAACCCCAGGAAAGCUGCUUUUCAAAAGCCUCACAGCUCAUGGUGUUACACUGUGGUGCAGUCAAGCAUGCAGGAAAGCACAGCCAAGAACCAGGAACACUUAUCAGAGCUGGUUGUAAAACCAGAUCUUCUUUGUUGGAGAUCACAGUAGUAACUGAGGAUUGUGCUUAAACUCCAAAACAUCCUCCACUAUCCAGGAAGCCUGCUGGCGAUAGGUGGAAUAUGGUGGUGAGACAGAGAAGCAUUGAAGACAAGAAAGUCAGUGAAAAUUUUUGCUGGCUCUGAAUGGUGCCUGUGCAAUGAGAAGAUGGAACAGAGCAGCACUCUGGAGCAGGAGGAACAGAGAAGGACUGCUGCCUGCCUUUGGGACUGGAGUUCUCCCCUGACACCCCAGUCAGAAGUGAGAUCAAUGCCUAACAACAUGAGAUGUUUCCCCUUCGUAGUGAUCAUCAUAUAUAGAUGCUUAAUAUUUGCUGGCUUCCUCCCUUGGAAUUUUCUAACAGCCCAGCAAGAAUGGAAGUUUGGAGAUUCUCCCAAAAGUCCUCAAAAUGCAUCAGAAACUGGAAUCUGCUGCAGGGCUGCAGGGUGUUGUCUCAGCAGAUUCAGUGGGUAACAAGUCUUAAAUAAAAUGUAAUACUCU
rnacentral:lncRNA from 7 species